UGGGGAAUAUUGGACAAUGGAGGAAACUCUGAUCCAGCAAUUCUGUGUGUGUGAAGAAGGUUUUAGGACUGUAAAACACUUUUAGUAGGGAAGAAAAAAAUGACGGUACCUACAGAAGAAGCAACGGCUAAAUACGUGCCAGCAGCCGCGGUAAUACGUAUGUCGCGAGCGUUAUCCGGAAUUAUUGGGCUUAAAGGGCAUCUAGGCGGUUAAACAAGUUGAAGGUGAAAACCUGUGGCUCAACCAUAGGCUUGCCUACAAAACUGUAUAACUAGAGUACUGGAAAGGUGGGUGGAACUACACGAGUAGAGGUGAAAUUCGUAGAUAUGUGUAGGAAUGCCGAUGAUGAAGAUAACUCACUGGACAGCAACUGACGCUGAAGUGCGAAAGCUAGGGGAGCAAACAGG
rnacentral:rRNA from 1 species